rnacentral:piRNA from 1 species
UGACAUCUUUUCUGCGCUGGAUUAGGCUC